GACGAACGCUGGCGGCGUGCCUAAUACAUGCAAGUUGAGCGAUGAAGAUUGGUGCUUGCACCAAUUUGAAGAGCAGCGAACGGGUGAGUAACGCGUGGGGAAUCUGCCUUUGAGCGGGGGACAACAUUUGGAAACGAAUGCUAAUACCGCAUAACAACUUUAAACAUAAGUUUUAAGUUUGAAAGAUGCAAUUGCAUCACUCAAAGAUGAUCCCGCGUUGUAUUAGCUAGUUGGUGAGGUAAAGGCUCACCAAGGCGAUGAUACAGCCGACCUGAGAGGGUGAUCGGCCACAUUGGGACUGAGACACGGCCCAAACUCCUACGGGAGGCAGCAGUAGGGAAUCUUCGGCAAUGGACGAAAGUCUGACCGAGCAACGCCGCGUGAGUGAAGAAGGGUGUCGGAUCGUAAAACUCUGUUGGUAGAGAAGAACGUUGGUGAGAGUGGAAAGCUCAUCAAGUGACGGUAACUACCCAGAAAGGGACGGCUAACUACGUG
rnacentral:rRNA from 1 species